UUGGUGGGGGGGCUCAGUGGUAGAGUACUCGCCUACCACGUGUGAGGCACUGGGUUUGAUCCCUAGCAUAAAA
rnacentral:tRNA from 1 species